AAGAAAUUAGUUAAAUUUAUAACAUUAGAGUGUCAAACUAAAAUUACUCUUCAUAAGUAUUUCUUA
rnacentral:tRNA from 1 species